GGAGAGGAAAGUCCGGGCUCCUUAGGGCGCGGUGGUGGGUAACGCCCACCGUUCGUGAGAACCGGGACAGUGCCACAGAAAAGAUACCGCCGGUCGAUGUUGCACCCGGGGUUCGCCUCGGAAGGCUAAGGCCGGUAAGGGUGAAAUGGUGCGGUAAGAGCGCACCGCAAUGGGGGUGACCUCAUUGGCAAGGUAAACCCCACCGGGAGCAAGACCAAGCAGGGGGAAGUGCGGCGACGGGCAACCGAAACCGCCGCGGAUUGGCCCGAUCCGUUCGACCUCCGGGUGUGUUGCUGGAGGCGGCGAGCAAUCGUCGCCCUAGAGAAAUGACCGUCCGCGACAAAACCCGGCUUAUCGACCCACUCCGCCU
rnacentral:RNase_P_RNA from 1 species